GACGAACGCUGGCGGCGUGCCUAAUACAUGCAAGUCGAGCGAACAGACGAGGCGUUUGCUCCUUUGACGUUAGCGGCGGACGGGUGAGUAACACGUGGAUAACCUACCUAUAAGACUGGGAUAACUUCGGGAAACCGGAGCAAAUACCGGAUAAUAUACUGAUCCGCAUGGGUCAAUAGUGAAAGUCGGUGUUUGUGUAACUAAUAGAUGGAUCCGCGCCGAUUUAGCUGGUUGGUGAGGUAACGGCUUAUCAAGGCAACGAUGGGUAGCCGACCUGAGAGGGUGAUCGGCCACACGGGAACUGGACCACGGUCAAGACUCCUACGGGAGGCAGCAGUAGGGAAUCUUCCGCAAUGGGCGAAAGCCUGACGGAGCGACGCCGCGUGAGUGAUGAAGGUCUUCGGAUCGUAAAACUCUGUUAUUAGUGAAGAACAAAUGUGUAAGUAAAUAUGCACGUAGUGACGGUAACUAAUCAAAAAGCACCGGCUAACUACGUG
rnacentral:rRNA from 1 species